UACGUAGGGUCCGAGCGUUGUCCGGAAUUACUGGGCGUAAAGAGCUCGUAGGUGGUUUGUCGCGUUGUUCGUGAAAACUCACAGCUCAACUGUGGGCGUGCGGGCGAUACGGGCAGACUUGAGUACUGCAGGGGAGACUGGAAUUCCUGGUGUAGCGGUGAAAUGCGCAGAUAUCAGGAGGAACACCGGUGGCGAAGGCGGGUCUCUGGGCCGAUGACUGACGCUGAGGAGCGAAAGCGUGGGGAGCGAACAGG
rnacentral:rRNA from 1 species